UACGGGGGGGGUAAGCGUUGUUCGGAAUUACUGGGCGUAAAGGGCUCGUAGGCGGCCUGUUAAGUCGAACGUGAAAUCCCCGGGCUCAACCCGGGAACUGCGUCCGAUACUGGCAGGCUUGAAUCCGGGAGAGGGAUGCGGAAUUCCAGGUGUAGCGGUGAAAUGCGUAGAUAUCUGGAGGAACACCGGUGGCGAAGGCGGCAUCCUGGACCGGCAUUGACGCUGAGGCGCGAAAGCCAGGGGAGCAAACGGG
rnacentral:rRNA from 1 species